rnacentral:misc_RNA from 1 species
CACAAUCACCCUAGGGUGGAGAUGGACGGCGUUUAACCCGUCUGAAAGGCAUGAGUGCUAUACAGUGCCAAUAGAGACAGUCCUUCGGGAAUAUCUAGCAACACUGUAAAAUCCUCUCUUUGAC